rnacentral:lncRNA from 1 species
UUUACUUCGUAACUUGUAGCUUCGUACAGAAACAAACAAUUGAAAAUAAAACUUCAAGAAAAGCUCUAAACAGAAAAGUUCUAAACUUUUGCAAUGAAACUGUUGCUAGUACGAUGCUGUACAAAAGGACGCUCCGUGAUUUGAUUUCCUCAUUCUACAACUAUUACAAAUUCCCAAGUCUAUUUCAAUGAGGAAAUGCAGUAAUACAGAAGAAAAAGAAACAGAACAGUUUUAGUCCCAUCUGCGGCAAUCCAACUGCAGAGUCUCACACAAUUUAGCAUUGAAAAUGGAAUAUAACAAGAGAACAUCUCAGAGGCCUAUAGGCCAAUAAUAACAUGUAGCAUGUCUUAUUUAAAGAGACAGAGCAAUGUAAAAAGGCAGGUGAAGUUGAUAUUAUAAGUAGACACUAGUUUACUUCCACUUCUUGAAUUUGCCUCCGAACAUCCCGCCCUUGCCAUGCUUUCCGUGCUUUCCGUGCUUGAAUUUCCCAUGCUUGCCAUGCUUAAACUUGCCUCCAUAAUGACCACCUCCAUAAUGACCGCCUCCAUAGUGAGCAGCACCGUGUGCCAUGUGAGAUCCACUUCCGUGUGCCAGGUGAUGAGCACCAUAGGCAGCAGCAGCAGAAACUUGCCAUGCUUUCCGUGCUUGAAUUUCCCAUGCUUGCCAUGCUUAAACUUGCCUCCAUAAUGACCGCCUCCGUGUCCAUAGUGAGCAGCACCGUGUGCGAUGUGAGAUCCACUUCCGUGUGCCAGGUGAUGAGCACCAUAGGCAGCAGCUGCAGCUGCAGCACCUCCGGCUAACAUCGCCCCCAUGCCCCCAUGACCUGAAAUGUAACAAGCAACGAAAGGGUAAAAAAUACCAUCAACAAUGAAAGAAAAUGUCAAAAAGUAUUUGGUCACAAAUAGCUAGCUAUUAUGCAGCACUGUUAGAAUUGCAUGUACUCUGUUUCAGUGCUCACAACAUAUAAACUGUUCUUGCCAUAUUUGUGCAUCUAGUUGUAAAAGAGAUUCAAAGAACUUUAACUAGACAAAUCCAACAUAUUGUGCACUUGGUAUAGUUACAGCUUUCUAUUAUUCAUUGGGGCCUAAAUAAAUCAGUUCCAAAGAUAAUACCUGAUUGGUGUGGAGGACCAUGGUGACCACCAGCGGGAGGAUAUCCUUGUGGAGGAUAUCCGGCAGGUGGGUAUCCUCCUCCAUGUGGAGGAUAACCCUGAGGAGGAUAUCCUUGAG